rnacentral:rRNA from 1 species
GACGAAGGGGGCUAGCGUUGUUCGGAAUUACUGGGCGUAAAGCGCGUGUAGGCGGUUGCCCAAGUCGGGUGUGAAAGCCUUGAGCUCAACUCAAGAAAUGCACUCGGUACUGGGUGACUAGAGGACCGGAGAGGAUAGUGGAAUUCCCAGUGUAGUGGUGAAAUACGUAGAGAUUGGGAAGAACGCCGGCGGCGAAAGCGACUCUCUGGUCGGAUCCGUGACGCUGAGGAGCGAAAGCGUGGGGAGCGAACAGG